rnacentral:rRNA from 1 species
GACGAACACUGGCGGCGUGCUUAACACAUGCAAGUCGAACGGAAAGGCCCUGCUUUUGUGGGGUGCUCGAGUGGCGAACGGGUGAGUAACACGUGAGUAACCUGCCCUUGACUUUGGGAUAACUUCAGGAAACUGGGGCUAAUACCGGAUAGGAGCUCCUGCUGCAUGGUGGGGGUUGGAAAGUUUCGGCGGUUGGGGAUGGACUCGCGGCUUAUCAGCUUGUUGGUGGGGUAGUGGCUUACCAAGGCUUUGACGGGUAGCCGGCCUGAGAGGGUGACCGGCCACAUUGGGACUGAGAUACGGCCCAGACUCCUACGGGAGGCAGCAGUGGGGAACAUUGCACAAUGGGCGGAAGCCUGAUGCAGCAACGCCGCGUGCGGGAUGACGGCCUUCGGGUUGUAAACCGCUUUCGCCUGUGACGAAGCGUGAGUGACGGUAAUGGGUAAAGAAGCACCGGCUAACUACGUG